CUACGGGAGGCUGCAGUGGGGAAUAUUGGACAAUGGGUGAAAGCCUGAUCCAGCCAUGCCGCGUGUGUGAAGAAGGCCUUCGGGUUGUAAAGCACUUUCAGUGGGGAAGAAAGCCUUGGGGCUAAUACCCUCGAGGAAGGACAUCACCCACAGAAGAAGCACCGGCUAACUCCGUGCCAGCAGCCGCGGUAAUACGGAGGGUGCGUGCGUUAAUCGGAAUUACUGGGCGUAAAGCGCGCGUAGGCGGUCUGAUAAGCCGGUUGUGAAAGCCCCGGGCUCAACCUGGGAACGGCAUCCGGAACUGUCAGGCUAGAGUGCAGGAGAGGAAGGUAGAAUUCCCGGUGUAGCGGUGAAAUGCGUAGAGAUCGGGAGGAAUACCAGUGGCGAAGGCGGCCUUCUGGACUGACACUGACGCUGAGGUGCGAAAGCGUGGGUAGCAAACAGGAUUAGAUACCCGAGUAGUC
rnacentral:rRNA from 1 species